rnacentral:rRNA from 1 species
AUUGAACGCUGGCGGAAUGCCUAACACAUGCAAGUCGAGCGGGGCGUAGCAAUACACCUAGCGGCGGACGGGUGAGGAAUACAUAGGAAUCUACCUUUAAGUGGGGGAUAGCCCGGGGAAACCCGGAUUAAUACCGCAUGAUCUCGCAAGAGCAAAGCGGGGGACCGUAAGGCCUCGCGCUGAAAGAUGAGCCUAUGUCGGAUUAGCUAGUUGGCGGGGUAAAGGCCCACCAAGGCGACGAUCCGUAGCUGGUCUGAGAGGACGAUCAGCCACACCGGAACUGAGACACGGUCCGGACUCCUACGGGAGGCAGCAGUGGGGAAUAUUGGACAAUGGGCGCAAGCCUGAUCCAGCAAUUCCGCGUGUGUGAAGAAGGCCUC